UUUGGUCGUAGACCCGAAACCAGGUGAUCUACCCUUGGUCAGGUUGAAGUUCAGGUAACACUGAAUGGAGGACCGAACCGACUUACGUUGAAAAGUGAGCGGAUGAACUGAGGGUAGCGGAGAAAUUCCAAUCGAACCUGGAGAUAGCUGGUUCUCUCCGAAAUAGCUUUAGGGCUAGCCUCAAGUGAUGAUUAUUGGAGGUAGAGCACUGUUUGGACGAGGGGCCCCUCUCGGGUUACCGAAUUCAGACAAACUCCGAAUGCCAAUUAAUUUAACUUGGGAGUCAGAACAUGGGUGAUAAGGUCCGUGUUCGAAAGGGAAACAGCCCAGACCACCAGCUAAGGUCCCAAAAUAUAUGUUAAGUGGAAAAGGAUGUGGCGUUGCCCAGACAACUAGGAUGUUGGCUUAGAAGCAGCCAUCAUUUAAAGAGUGCGUAAUAGCUCACUAGUCGAGUGACACUGCGCCGAAAAUGUACCGGGGCUAAACAUAUUACCGAAGCUGUGGAUUGUCCUUUGGACAAUGGUAGGAGAGCGUUCUAAGGGCGUUGAAGCAUGAUCGUAAGGACAUGUGGAGCGCUUAGAAGUGAGAAUGCCGGUGUGAGUAGCGAAAGACGGGUGAGAAUCCCGUCCACCGAUUGACUAAGGUUUCCAGAGGAAGGCUCGUCCGCUCUGGGUUAGUCGGGUCCUAAGCUGAGGCCGACAGGCGUAGGCGAUGGAUAACAGGUUGAUAUUCCUGUACCACCUAUAAUCGUUUUAAUCGAUGGGGGGACGCAGUAGGAUAGGCGAAGCGUGCGAUUGGAUUGCACGUCUAAGCAGUAAGGCUGAGUAUUAGGCAAAUCCGGUACUCGUUAAGGCUGAGCUGUGAUGGGGAGAAGACAUUGAGUCUUCGAGUCGUUGAUUUCACACUGCCGAGAAAAGCCUCUAGAUAGAAAAUAGGUGCCCGUACCGCAAACCGACACAGGUAGUCAAGAUGAGAAUUCUAAGGUGAGCGAGCGAACUCUCGUUAAGGAACUCGGCAAAAUGACCCCGUAACUUCGGGAGAAGGGGUGCUCUUUAGGGUUAACGCCCAGAAGAGCCGCAGUGAAUAGGCCCAAGCGACUGUUUAUCAAAAACACAGGUCUCUGCUAAACCGUAAGGUGAUGUAUAGGGGCUGACGCCUGCCCGGUGCUGGAAGGUUAAGAGGAGUGGUUAGCUUCUGCGAAGCUACGAAUCGAAGCCCCAGUAAACGGCGGCCGUAACUAUAACGGUCCUAAGGUAGCGAAAUUCCUUGUCGGGUAAGUUCCGACCCGCACGAAAGGCGUAACGAUUUGGGCACUGUCUCAACGAGAGACUCGGUGAAAUCAUAGUACCUGUGAAGAUGCAGGUUACCCGCGACAGGACGGAAAGACCCCGUGGAGCUUUACUGUAGCCUGAUAUUGAAAUUCGGCACAGCUUGUACAGGAUAGGUAGGAGCCUUUGAAACGUGAGCGCUAGCUUACGUGGAGGCGCUGGUGGGAUACUACCCUAGCUGUGUUGGCUUUCUAACCCGCACCACUUAUCGUGGUGGGAGACAGUGUCAAGCGGGCAGUUUGACUGGGGCGGUCGCCUCCUAAAAGGUAACGGAGGCGCUCAAAGGUUCCCUCAGAAUGGUUGGAAAUCAUUCAUAGAGUGUAAAGGCAUAAGGGAGCUUGACUGCGAGACCUACAAGUCGAGCAGGGUCGAAAGACGGACUUAGUGAUCCGGUGGUUCCGCAUGGAAGGGCCAUCGCUCAACGGAUAAAAGCUACCCCGGGGAUAACAGGCUUAUCUCCCCCAAGAGUUCACAUCGACGGGGAGGUUUGGCACCUCGAUGUCGGCUCAUCGCAUCCUGGGGCUGUAGUCGGUCCCAAGGGUUGGGCUGUUCGCCCAUUAAAGCGGUACGCGAGCUGGGUUCAGAACGUCGUGAGACAGUUCGGUCCCUAUCCGUCGUGGGCGUAGGAAAUUUGAGAGGAGCUGUCCUUAGUACGAGAGGACCGGGAUGGACAUACCUCUGGUGUACCAGUUGUCGUGCCAACGGCAUAGCUGGGUAGCUAUGUGUGGACGGGAUAAGUGCUGAAAGCAUCUAAGCAUGAAGCCCCCCUCAAGAUGAGAUUUCCCAACUUCGGUUAUAAGAUCCCUCAAAGAUGAUGAGGUUAAUAGGUUCGAGGUGGAAGCAUGGUGACAUGUGGAGCUGACGAAUACUAAUCGAUCGAAGACUUAAUCAA
rnacentral:rRNA from 1 species